rnacentral:rRNA from 1 species
UACGAAGGGGGCUAGCGUUGCUCGGAAUCACUGGGCGUAAAGGCGCGUAGGCGGCCGAUCAAGUCAGGGGUGAAAGCCUGUGGCUCAACCACAGAAUUGCCUUUGAUACUGUUCGGCUCGAGACCGGAAGAGGUAAGUGGAACUGCGAGUGUAGAGGUGAAAUUCGUAGAUAUUCGCAAGAACACCAGUGGCGAAGGCGGCUUACUGGUCCGGUUCUGACGCUGAGGCGCGAAAGCGUGGGGAGCAAACAGG